UCGUGAAGGCUAACAGGAGAAGAGAGAGAGUACAGCUUUGGCCGGCCAGUUGGUUGGAUCGUAGUAACACAGACUUGCGAUACUCUCCUACUACCUUUUCGCCAAGGCUGUACCCUCUCUCUUCUUCUCUUCGCUUUACGA
rnacentral:pre_miRNA from 1 species